rnacentral:rRNA from 1 species
GACGAACGCUGGCGGCGUGCUUAACACAUGCAAGUCGAACGGAAAGGCCCUGCUUUUGUGGGGUGCUCGAGUGGCGAACGGGUGAGUAACACGUGAGUAACCUGCCCUUGACUUUGGGAUAACUUCAGGAAACUGGGGCUAAUACCGGAUAGGAGCUCCUGCUGCAUGGUGGGGGUUGGAAAGUUUCGGCGGUUGGGGAUGGACUGGCGGCUUAUCAGCUUGUUGGUGGGGUAGUGGCUUACCAAGGGUUUGACGGGUAGCCGGCCUGGGAGGGUGACCGGGCACAUUGGGACUGAGAUAGGGACCAGACGGCAACGGGAGGCAGCAGUGGGGAGUAUUGCACAAUGGGCGGGAGCCUGAUGCAGCAACGCUGCGUGCGGGAUGACGGCCUUCGGGUUGUAAACCGCUUUCGCCUGUGACGAAGCGUGAGUGACGGUAAUGGGUAAAGAAGCACCGGCUAACUACGUG